CAAGGGUUUGGUCCUAGCCCUUCUAUUGGUUGCUAGCAAAACUACACAUGCAAGUAUCCGCAGUCCAGUGAGAAUGCCCUAUAAGUCACCACUCAACUGACAAAAAGGAGCAGGUAUCAAGCACGCCCUAGGCAGCUCAUAACACCUUGCUCAACCACACCCCCACGGGAAACAGCAGUGAUAAAAAUUAAGCAAUAAACGAAAGUUUGACUAAGUUAUGCUUGCAAGGGUUGGUAAAUUUCGUGCCAGCCACCGCGGUCAUACGAUUAACCCUAAUCAAUAGACUUACGGCGUAAAACGUGUUUAAGAUACAAAACUAAUAAAGUUGAACCCUAGCUACGCUGUAAAAAGCCUCAGCUACUAUAAGCUCCACAACGAAAGUGACUUUAAAUUAUCUGAAUACACGACAGCUAGGGUCCAAACUGGGAUUAGAUACCCCACUAUGCCUAGCCUUAAACCUAAAGAAUUAAUAUAACUAAAUUCUUCGCCAGAGUACUACUAGCCAAAGCCUAAAACUCAAGGGACUUGGCGGUGCUUCAUAUCCUUCUAGAGGAGCCUGUUCUAUAAUCGAUAAACCCCGAUAGACCUCACCAACUCUUGCUAAUUCAGCCUAUAUACCGCCAUCCUCAGCAAACCCUAAAAAGGAACUAUAGUAAGCUUAAUUAUAGUACAUAAAAACGUUAGGUCAAGGUGUAGCCUAUGGGUUGGAAAGAAAUGGGCUACAUUUCCUAUUAUUAGGCCAUCUCCUACCACUCUACGAAAAUCUUUAUGAAAUUACAGAUUAAAGGUGGAUUUAGUAGUAAGCUAAGAACAGAGUGCUUAGCUGAAUGUGGCUAUGAAGCACGCACACACCGCCCGUCACCCUCCUCAAAUAUAAAUGGCAUCCUUUAACCCUAUUAAUUCCAUCCAUAAUUACUAGAGGAGACAAGUCGUAACAAGGUAAGCGUACUGGAAAGUGUGCUUGGAUAAUA
rnacentral:ncRNA from 1 species